UUAAGCGACUAAGCGUACACGGUGGAUGCCCUGGCAGUCAGAGGCGAUGAAGGACGUGCUAAUCUGCGAUAAGCGUCGGUGAGGUGAUAUGAACCGUUAUAACCGGCGAUUUCCGAAUGGGGAAACCCAGUGUGUUUCGACACACUAUCAUUAACUGAAUCCAUAGGUUAAUGAGGCGAACCGGGGGAACUGAAACAUCUAAGUACCCCGAGGAAAAGAAAUCAACCGAGAUUCCCCCAGUAGCGGCGAGCGAACGGGGAGGAGCCCAGAGCCUGAAUCAGUGUGUGUGUUAGUGGAAGCGUCUGGAAAGGCGUGCGAUACAGGGUGACAGCCCCGUACACAAAAAUGCACAUAUUGUGAGCUCGAUGAGUAGGGCGGGACACGUGGUAUCCUGUCUGAAUAUGGGGGGACCAUCCUCCAAGGCUAAAUACUCCUGACUGACCGAUAGUGAACCAGUACCGUGAGGGAAAGGCGAAAAGAACCCCGGCGAGGGGAGUGAAAAAGAACCUGAAACCGUGUACGUACAAGCAGUGGGAGCCUCUUAAUGGGGUGACUGCGUACCUUUUGUAUAAUGGGUCAGCGACUUAUAUUCUGUAGCAAGGUUAACCGAAUAGGGGAGCCGAAGGGAAACCGAGUCUUAACUGGGCGUUAAGUUGCAGGGUAUAGACCCGAAACCCGGUGAUCUAGCCAUGGGCAGGUUGAAGGUUGGGUAACACUAACUGGAGGACCGAACCGACUAAUGUUGAAAAAUUAGCGGAUGACUUGUGGCUGGGGGUGAAAGGCCAAUCAAACCGGGAGAUAGCUGGUUCUCCCCGAAAGCUAUUUAGGUAGCGCCUCGUGAAUUCAUCUCCGGGGGUAGAGCACUGUUUCGGCAAGGGGGUCAUCCCGACUUACCAACCCGAUGCAAACUGCGAAUACCGGAGAAUGUUAUCACGGGAGACACACGGCGGGUGCUAACGUCCGUCGUGAAGAGGGAAACAACCCAGACCGCCAGCUAAGGUCCCAAAGUCAUGGUUAAGUGGGAAACGAUGUGGGAAGGCCCAGACAGCCAGGAUGUUGGCUUAGAAGCAGCCAUCAUUUAAAGAAAGCGUAAUAGCUCACUGGUCGAGUCGGCCUGCGCGGAAGAUGUAACGGGGCUAAACCAUGCACCGAAGCUGCGGCAGCGACACUAUGUGUUGUUGGGUAGGGGAGCGUUCUGUAAGCCUGUGAAGGUGGCCUGUGAGGGUUGCUGGAGGUAUCAGAAGUGCGAAUGCUGACAUAAGUAACGAUAAAGCGGGUGAAAAGCCCGCUCGCCGGAAGACCAAGGGUUCCUGUCCAACGUUAAUCGGGGCAGGGUGAGUCGACCCCUAAGGCGAGGCCGAAAGGCGUAGUCGAUGGGAAACAGGUUAAUAUUCCUGUACUUGGUGUUACUGCGAAGGGGGGACGGAGAAGGCUAUGUUGGCCGGGCGACGGUUGUCCCGGUUUAAGCGUGUAGGCUGGUUUUCCAGGCAAAUCCGGAAAACCAAGGCUGAGGCGUGAUGACGAGGCACUACGGUGCUGAAGUGACAAAUGCCCUGCUUCCAGGAAAAGCCUCUAAGCAUCAGGUAACAUCAAAUCGUACCCAAAACCGACACAGGUGGUCAGGUAGAGAAUACCAAGGCGCUUGAGAGAACUCGGGUGAAGGAACUAGGCAAAAUGGUGCCGUAACUUCGGGAGAAGGCACGCUGAUAUGUAGGUGAAGCGACUCGCUCGUGGAGCUGAAAUCAGUCGAAGAUACCAGCUGGCUGCAACUGUUUAUUAAAAACACAGCACUGUGCAAACACGAAAGUGGACGUAUACGGUGUGACGCCUGCCCGGUGCCGGAAGGUUAAUUGAUGGGGUUAGCGGUAACGCGAAGCUCUUGAUCGAAGCCCCGGUAAACGGCGGCCGUAACUAUAACGGUCCUAAGGUAGCGAAAUUCCUUGUCGGGUAAGUUCCGACCUGCACGAAUGGCGUAAUGAUGGCCAGGCUGUCUCCACCCGAGACUCAGUGAAAUUGAACUCGCUGUGAAGAUGCAGUGUACCCGCGGCAAGACGGAAAGACCCCGUGAACCUUUACUAUAGCUUGACACUGAACAUUGAGCCUUGAUGUGUAGGAUAGGUGGGAGGCUUUGAAGUGUGGACGCCAGUCUGCAUGGAGCCGACCUUGAAAUACCACCCUUUAAUGUUUGAUGUUCUAACGUUGGCCCGUAAUCCGGGUUGCGGACAGUGUCUGGUGGGUAGUUUGACUGGGGCGGUCUCCUCCUAAAGAGUAACGGAGGAGCACGAAGGUUGGCUAAUCCUGGUCGGACAUCAGGAGGUUAGUGCAAUGGCAUAAGCCAGCUUGACUGCGAGCGUGACGGCGCGAGCAGGUGCGAAAGCAGGUCAUAGUGAUCCGGUGGUUCUGAAUGGAAGGGCCAUCGCUCAACGGAUAAAAGGUACUCCGGGGAUAACAGGCUGAUACCGCCCAAGAGUUCAUAUCGACGGCGGUGUUUGGCACCUCGAUGUCGGCUCAUCACAUCCUGGGGCUGAAGUAGGUCCCAAGGGUAUGGCUGUUCGCCAUUUAAAGUGGUACGCGAGCUGGGUUUAGAACGUCGUGAGACAGUUCGGUCCCUAUCUGCCGUGGGCGCUGGAGAACUGAGGGGGGCUGCUCCUAGUACGAGAGGACCGGAGUGGACGCAUCACUGGUGUUCGGGUUGUCAUGCCAAUGGCACUGCCCGGUAGCUAAAUGCGGAAGAGAUAAGUGCUGAAAGCAUCUAAGCACGAAACUUGCCCCGAGAUGAGUUCUCCCUGACUCCUUGAGAGUCCUGAAGGAACGUUGAAGACGACGACGUUGAUAGGCCGGGUGUGUAAGCGCAGCGAUGCGUUGAGCUAACCGGUACUAAUGAACCGUGAGGCUUAACCUU
rnacentral:rRNA from 4 species